rnacentral:tRNA from 1 species
GGCGAGGUGGCCGAGUGGUUAUGGCGCUAGUUUCAGGCACUACCUGGUCUACCCAGGGCAUUUACUAGUUCUUCGGAGCGUGGGUUCGAGUCCCACCCUCGUCA